AAAAAUAUACUCUUUAAUUUAUCUUUUCUGUCCUUUAAAAAAUAUUGGUGUUAUUUUUCAGCACUUUCAUUUUCACCAUGCAGAUCCAUAUUAAUGAAGUGGCAGAUAAAUAGCAUAGAGCCAGUUUGUUGAAAUCUAUACCCUGGAAUAUAAGUCACUUGAAUGUCUUGAAGGAAAUCCUGAACUUGAUUCUAGGGUAUGGAUUUCAGUUAACUGGUUCUGUAUUAGUUUAUAUACCUCAUCAAUUUUCACACUACUGACUUGCACUACGACAUACUAGGCAUUAAUUUGAACCACUUAUUUCAAAUAUACUGGAAUUCCGUUGAUUUGGUGUUCAUGAAUGCACUCCAGUGGAGUUAAAUAU
rnacentral:misc_RNA from 1 species